GGCAUGGAAGUAUUGUCUUGGAGAUGGAGAGAGGAUAAGACUGUUAUAUAAUAUGAAUUGGUAUUGUGGAAAUUCUGAUACCCCAAUUGCAGGCCCGGUCCUGCUUAGAGGCGGAUGAGGCCUCCGCCUCAGGCCCAAAAUUUAAGGGGGCCUCAUAUUGCUGGCCCAAUUUAUUAUUAUUUUUUUAUGUUAUUAAUAUUUUUUUUUUAACAAUGGCAGACGAGGUCCAGCAAGACUGCAAGAGUAGCCCAAAACUCUCAAGCUCAAGCCCGUAUCCUAAUCCAUUAUCCAUUUUCUCCAAAAUUCCCAAAUUGAAAUCCAUUUUCCCCAAACGCUUCGUCGUUUUCGUCUGGCCUUCUCUCUCUCGCCCAGACUCCAGAGUCCAGAGUUCCAGAGCCUCGAGUCUCUCUCUCGCGCACGCACACUCACAUAGAGAGCGAAAGCUAGGCAUAUUUUGGCAAUCAUAGAAAUUCGGGUUGGUUAAACCAUUUAGAGAGAGAAGUGUAUUAAGGCUCAAAUCGCAGUGGAAAAUGGAAGGUUUUGUGAUUCUUGGUUCGGAGAAUGCUUGAAUAGCCGAAGGUAGUUCUUGUCUUCUUGAUUCCAGACUUCGAGUUUGUAAUUAUUUUUUUCUGGCCAAUUUAAAAUUUUACUAAUAGCAAAAUUAUGAGCUUUUUGAAUAUGUACGUGAAUGCUGGCUAAUAAGUAAUAUCUAACAUAAACGGAGAUCAAGAAAAUUCAGAGGAUUCACUCAUUCACAUUAGAUCUGGAGCGACCAGGCUUUUUCAGUUCAUUUCAGUUUUAGGUACCCGAAGUUAAGCAAAUUAUUUUUACUUCGUGCUUGCACCAGGGAAAAAAGAAAGAAAACAAAAAAACAAAGUCUAGAGGUCGGUUUUGGAAUUGAAACCUGUUUUCAUAGGCAGUUGUAUGUAUAUAUUGAAGCUCACAGCUUUCUGCUUAAUUUUUAUGAAGUUGCUGGUUUUUGCAAAUUAAAUUGUGUGAGCAUAUGUAUGUUGGUGUUGUUUAAUUAGAAGGCAGGCCCUAAAUUGGUUUAGUAACGAGAAUGGCAUAGAUUCAAGAAAGGAAUAGUCUAUAAUUUUUCCAGAUAGAAUUUCCUUAUCAAAAAGAUCAUUAUAAGUGAGAAAAUUUAUUUUAGAAGGAAAAUCAAGGGGAAAAUAAAGUUCAGAAUGUUGAGCACCCCAGCAGAUUUUUCUUUACUAAACAGAACCUUCACUAGUUCCUUUUGGAGUGGAUUUGUCGGAUUUACCACAGUUGACUGGAAUUUUAAUUCUAGGCAUGGAUUGGUUAGCUAAACACCAAUUUACUAUCAAUUGUAAGAAGAAAAUCUUAAAUACGAUCGAUGUAGAAAUUGACUCAUUCAUUAAACUUGUCAAAACUUUGAGGAUUUUGAUUUUGACACUUGAGGCAGCGUAACUUAUUACUAAGAAAAGUCAAUGAUUUUGGAUUAUUAUUCAUCAAUGUGAAGUUAAACUUGAGGAAUCAUUUAGUAUCAGUAGUACAAGAAUUCACGGACAUUUUCGACAAACUUGAUCCGCUGACUUGUACAUCAGAUUUGUUGCAUGUGAGGGCAGUUGUCUUGUAUAAAUUGGGUUCAAAGAUUGUGUUAGACCCGGUGAUGUUGAUUUUUGAUAAGAUAGUCUAUGUGGGACCAAUGAGGGCAUAACAGUACGAACUUCCAUAUCCUAAUGGGACUUCCUGCUAACUAUGUUGGUGUUGUUUAAUUAGAAGGCAGACCCUAAUUUGGUGUUGGAACCCUCAAUAAAUUUGGAAUCUGAUUUUAAUAGCAAAAAUUGCAACCUUGAACUUGCAGACAAUAACUGUAACCAGCACUUUCACUCCAUAAUUAUAGGGUGUCUCCUCUAUCUAAAUGUAGGCUAAGAAAUCGAGUUUUUUGAGGGAUUUUUGGCACUUGGAUGGGCAUUUGCCUCAGCAACCAAAUCAAGGUAGAGAGUCCAUUUAAUACUGGAACAUGUAUAUUCUCAAAACACAAUCACUUUCUUUAUGUAGAGUGAAAGAGAGAGAACAAUGAAAUUAUGUUUACUAGAGAGAUUGAAAUGAUAAAUUCAAAAUUUGUGAUAUUUUUGAGUUGUUUUUCUGAAACUAAGAAUUCAUGUCCUAUGCAUUUUCUGGUUUGUCGUAUCAAUUGCCUUCAAAGGUAAUAGGAUACCUGAGACUUCUAAUGCUGCGUAGUCUACUAUUUCUUCAUUGAUUUUAAUUGGUGGCAACUAAUUUCUUCGACACAUUGCAUACUACAUAUAACGCGUUAAAAUAAAAUUCUACCACUAGAGGAGGCUUGUGUACUUGAAGGGGAAAUUGUUAUGCUUCGAACUCUGAAAUAUUCAAGGUUCAUUUUGAAGACAUAAUAUGAAUAACUAUAUUUCUUCCUUUUUUAACAACUCAAACUUUUGGACGAGUAUGUAGUUUUAAAGCAUACAAUUGUUCUAUUUUUAAUUCAAAAUUGUUUCCUGCUUAUGAAAAUUCUACUUUUCAACCCUAUGAUGAAAAAGAUGAACCGAUGAUUAAAAAUCAGAGGUGGACUAAAGUGAAUGUUAGAAUUUUGAUUCCUAAUGCUAUCUCUUAUCAUGUUCAUAGUUGUAUUAGCGUUUGAUUUGAUGAUCAUGUUCAUAUUUGUAAUUUUGUAUUAGCGUUUGAUGUAAAAAUUUUGUUUCAGGGUCGUGAGUUGUGAGUCUUGUGACAAUUGAAUUCUCGAAGGUGUAACUCCACAGAAUACGGUUUUCGUAGAAAUUCUACUUCUCAAGUAAGUAAUGGCUUGCCCUAACUUGUUAUUGAAGAGAUUGGAAAUGUUUGAAGCCUUGUCGGCUUAUAUAAUUACAGUCUGCUCGGCUUAUAUGAUUGCUUAUUGUACGAUGAACAAUUACACUGGCACACGUAGUAACUACAUUCAAAACUAUAAUUGUAAGAUGAUUGAGAUAUUGUGUAAUUGUUUUUUAGGUUAAUCAUUGGACAUUAGAUAUACACUUCUACACUAUGCCUCCUAAAUAUGAGUCUGGUGCUCAAAAGAGGAAAAGGAAACGAAAUAAAAUUACAUUAAUUCAAAGUCAAGAAGAGGAUAUUAAUAAGUACUUUAAAAGCAACAAUGUGAAUGUGUUGAAUGAGGAUGAAGAUGAACUAGAGAUUCAACAUGCCCAUAUUAAUGAAGUAGAUGAUAAGGAUGAAGAAGUGAGUCAACCUGCCGAUGUUAACAAAGUAAAUGAUAAGGAAGAAGAAGUGAUGAAGCCCGCCUCUAAUAAUGAAGAAGAUGAUAAGGAAAAAGAGGGUUGCUUUUCUUCAAAUUCGGAUGAUCCCGGGAAUUGAAAAAUCAUUGAUCAAAGAACAAGGGAAUAUUUAGUUGAAAGGGGUCCAAAAAGAGUUGAUGACAUCUCGUUUCCGAAAGACUAUACAAAUAGACAUUUUGAUUCUUCACAAUAUAAGUGAUUGCUACCAAAUGGGCAAAUAGUUGAUAGAAGAUUACUAGUAUAUUCAGUGUCUAUAGACAUGAUCUUCUGCUUUUGUUGUAAGUUGUUUAAAACAUCAAUAAAUGUGACCAAAGUUGGUCAACUAGGUAAUGAUGGAUUCAAAGAUUGACAUAAUUUGCAUCGGUCUAUUAAAAGUCAUGAAGGAAAUGAGGAGCAUUUACGUUGCAUGACUAGCUAGAUUGAAUUGAAAAACAGGCUUCAAACAAAAACUACAACUGAUAAAAGCGUUGAAUUCCCGAGCUUUCGAUAUUGAUGACAUUAGAGGGCAAGGGUAUGACAACGGAUCUAACAUGAGCGGGAAGUACAAAGGUGUUCAAAGAAGAGUCCAUGAAAUGAAUCCCCGAGCUUUCUAUACUCCAUGUGGAGCUCAUAGUCUAAAUCUAGCAUUAUAUGAUAUAGUGAACUGUUGUUUCUUCUUCAGAGUGAUACAACGCAUCUACACAUUGUUUUCCUCUUCUACCAAGCGAUGAAAAAUUUUCAAAGAUAAUGUACAAGGGUUGACAGUGGAGACAUUGUCACAAACACGCUGGGAAAGUCAUAUUGAGAGUGUGAAGCCUAUAAUGGAGCAAACUGCACAGAUAAGAGAUGCGUUACUUGAUUUGGUAGAAAGUAAUGAAGACCCUAAAGUGAAGAGUGAAGCCGAGUCGUUAGCAACACAUGAACUUCAAAAUUUUGAGUUUUUGCUUGGCAUGAUAAUCUGGUACAGGUUGUCGCAUGCUGUCAAUAUUGUGAGUAAAUUUCUUCAAAUUGAAUCCAUGGAUAUUGAUCAUGCUAUCGACCUCUUGUAAGGACUUGUUUCAUUUCUUGAAAAAUAUAGAGAAAUUAGAUUUGCUAUUGCCAAGGAUGAAGCUACAAAAAAGGCUAGCGAAAUGGGAAUUAAAGCUGUAUUUAUAGAAAAACGCAUAAUUCGAAGAAAAAUGCAAUUUGAUGAAAGCGGUAGUGAUGAGGUAAAUCAAUCGGUAGUAGAAUCUUUUAGAGUUGAGUACUUUGUUUUUCUAAUUGAUGAAGCUCUAUCUUCUCUGAGGACCCGAUUUGAAUAAUUCAAAUAAUAUGAUACAUUUGGAUUUUUGUUUAAUUUGAAGAGGUUAAGGGGUGCAACUUUUUCAAGUUUGAUGAACUCUUGUAUGAAUCUUGAGAGCUGUCUUCAACAUGAUGGGCUUUCGGACAUUAGUGGGGAUGAUUUAUGUUCGGAGUUAUAAGUCUUGAGGUGUUAUAUAUCAAGUGAAGCAAUAAGAGCAAUUGAAGUGCUACAAUAUUUGAAGACAUUGAAUAUUUAUUUUCCAAAUACUUAUAUUGCUUACAAAAUUUUGUUAACCAUACCGGUUACAAUUGCACUUGCGGAAAGAAGUUUCUCGAAAUUGAAGUUGAUUAAGACCUAUCUUUGUUCAACUAUGUCACAAGAAUGAUUAAACGAGUUGCCUAUGAUAUCAAUAGAGAAAGAAAUGGUUGAGCAGCUAAAUUAUUCAAUUUGAUUGAUGUUUUUACCUCUAAAACAGCAAGACGAAUAGUAUUUAAUUAAUUGUUUCAAACAUUGUUGAUUUUGAUAGUUUAUAAUAUAAAUCUUUUCUAUAAUAUAUUUGGUUGUUGGUUUAAUGUUAAUUUUUUAAGUUAGUAAUGGGUUGCAUAAUACAUCGUUGAAGUUUACAUUUACGUUGAUUUCGUCGAAGGGCCUAAUUUUCAAACUUCGCCUCAGGCCCCGAAAAUCACAGGACCGGCUCUGCCCAAUUGCAUACCAGGAAAUCCAUGCCCAAAAUUAUGGCUGAUGUCAGCAAUGCAGUUCAGAAUGGACUAAGCAAUAUGGAGUUCAUUUUAGAGCAACUGAAUUGAGCAAACAUCGGGGGAUUAAAUAAACAUUUCCUAGAGAACAUCUUCAAUUAUAUGGGGACAGUUUCAUUUAAAUUUACUGCAAGAGCUAUCGAAAAAACUUACAUAAACAUAUACUUUGACAUAUAAUACACAUGCAUACAUGGUAAAUAACAAAAAUGAAAGAAUCACAG
rnacentral:lncRNA from 1 species